rnacentral:lncRNA from 1 species
CCCAGGAGUCCCCUGCAGAUCCAGAUGUCCUGGCUCCACACUCUGCAGCCCUGACGAGGGCAAGAGGGCGGCCCAGGCCUGCACCCCUCAGUCCUCGAGGGAUGAGGUGCCUGCACUCUCUCAGGGACCCCAUUUUGAAAGCACUUUAAGGCCAGAUCCCCAGGUCUCGGGAGCUUCUGAGCGGGCUCCUGAGCACCCGGGGAAGCUUCCUCUUGCCCUGGCCUCUGAGGGCCGGCAACACAGAAAACAGAAAACCCCUGAAUUUCAAGGUUUACACAGCCAGCAUCCCAUAAAUGUCACCUGCCACCCUCCCCAGCACACACUUGGAGGGCGGAGGUUACAGUGGAACACGACAUCACUUCUUCCGGAGGCUCCAGUGGAUUCGUCAAGAUGGUGAAAUGGGGUCCCACAGUGAUGUGACAGCUGCCCAAGCCAGUUCAGACUUGAACCCUUGACUUCUAGGCUGAUGCUGGAGAGGUUUGGAGAGAUCCAGGCUUCACCCCCACACAUGGCCAGAGACCCCCCAGGCCGGUGCGACAGCCAGUGUUGACAGUCCCUCUCUCCUCUUCACCCAUUCAAAGACAGAUGUGCUGCUCGGGAAAAACUCAGAGAAUCUCCGAGUCCAGAGGCUGGGGUUCCAAUGCCAGCUUUGCCACUUAACUGGUUGUGCAAUGUUGGGCAAGGCCCUGAGCUGCUCCGAGCAUCGGUUUCAUCUGUGAAAUGGGGACAGCAAUACUUGCCCCACCUGACCGGGAAGUGAGGAUCAGCUGAGGUCCUCCGUGAGAAGGUAUUCCACGUGUUGCUGCGGGGCAGACCCUCACAAGUGGCCCUGUACCAAGGAGGAGCUGAGAGUGACUUCGGGAUGCUGGAGAAUGAAAGCCGCCCUGAGCACCUCGUGCCUGCAUACUGAGCACUUAUGGUGUGCCUGGCCUGUGCUGGACACCGCCUUCACCGAGGCAUAAAGGCCCCAUCCCUGCCCUCGUGCAGCCAACCCAUCUGAGCAUCUGAGAGGGGCAAUGCAGCUGAGCACGUGGUCCAGGUGGUUGCAGUCCCGGACAAGGAAGUCAGGGGAGGAUGUCUUAGAAUCCACAAACUGUCAAGUGAGAGAAGCAAGAAUCCUGUGUACAGUAUGAUUCUAUUCAUGUUAAGGUGAUAAACAGGUGAAAGUAAGCAGAUACAGGUGAUGAAACUGGAAGGAAAAGCAGGGAGGUGAUUAACACAAAAACUGGGAUGCUUAGGUGGAGGAGAGGAUUAUGAUCAAGGAGGGUCACUCAGCGGGGUUCCUGGGGGACUGGCAGAGUCCUAUUUCUUGACCUAGGUAUCUAGUUUAUAAAUAUUCCUUAACUGUGUGUAUCUUAAUUCACUGUACUUUAUAUGUUUUUGUUCACAAUUUUAAUACACAGAAAUUGCCAAAGUCACUAUUGGGUGGGACCGAGGCUGAUUUCUCACAGUGCCC